ensembl:lncRNA
AUGUCCUUGUCCAUGGGAUGACUAUGAGGGAGGCUGGGCAACGAGUACAACCAAAUUUGAGUCGCUUCACUGUUGCCUCCAUCAUCAGAACCUUCAGGGAGGAAAACAGGACACAGAGACGACCACCUGGUGGAGGCAGGUUAAGGCUUUUGUCGGAGGAGCAAGAGAGGGAACUUGUAAACAUGGUAAUUGCAAAUAAUGUAAUCCGCCUGCAAGAGAUUCAAAGGAGAGUGAUUGAGGAUGAUCAUCUUUUUCGAGGCAUAAAUGCCAUCAGCCUCUCCACAAUUGACCGAAAGAAUCAAUUCCGGAUGAAACAGGCAUACCGAGUCCCUUUCGAACGAAACUCUGACAGAGUGAAAAACCAACGUGUGGAAUAUGUUCAGAGAAUCUUUGAGAUUGAAGGACGGCCUGUUCCCCAUGAAAUAAUCUUUGUGGAUGAGGCAGGUUUUAACCUGACCAAAAGAAGGAAAAGGGGAGGAACAUAAUUGGCCAUCGGGCUAUUGUAAAUGUCCCUGGUCAGCGUGGGGGGAAUGUCACUAUGUGCGCAGCCAUCAGCCAACGAGGGGUACUCCACCGCCAUGGCGUACUAGGACCCUAUAACACUAUGCUUCUCCUUGCUUUUCUUGAUGGUUUAAGACAACAUAUGUUCCAG